rfam:Dipodomys ordii contig_37567, whole genome shotgun sequence.
GGUAAGGUGGCUCAGUGGUAGAGUGCUUGCCUUGCAUGCAUAAGGUCCUGGGGUCAAUUCCUCAGUACCA